CAGCAGGCGCGAAAACUUUGCAAUGCGGGAAACCGUGACAAGGGAACUCUGAGUGCCCGUUAAAUCGGGCUGUCCAUCGGUUUAAAUAACCGGUGAAGAAAGGGCCGGGCAAGACCGGUGCCAGCCGCCGCGGUAAUACCGGUGGCUCGAGUGGUGGCCACUAUUACUGGGCUUAAAGCGUUCGUAGCUGGUUUGUUAAGUCUCUGGGGAAAUCUUCCGGCUUAACCGGAAGGCGUCUCAGGGAUACUGGCAGACUAGGGACCGGGAGAGGUGAGAGGUACUCCAGGGGUAGGAGUGAAAUCCUGUAAUCCUUGGGGGACCACCUGUGGCGAAGGCGUCUCACCAGAACGGCUCCGACAGUGAGGGACGAAAGCUGGGGGAGCAAACCGGAUUAGAUACCCGGGUAGUCCCAGCUGUAAACGAUGCGCGUUAGGUGUAUCGGUGACCACGAGUCACCGAGGUGCCGAAGAGAAAUCGUGAAACGUGCCGCCUGGGAAGUACGGUCGCAAGGCUGAAACUUAAAGGAAUUGGCGGGGGAGCAC
rnacentral:rRNA from 1 species